GACGAACGCUGGCGGCGUGCCUAAUACAUGCAAGUAGAACGCUGAAGAGAGGAGCUUACUCUUCUUGGAUGAGUUGCGAACGGGUGAGUAACGCGUAGGUAACCUGCCUUGUAGCGGGGGAUAACUAUUGGAAACGAUAGCUAAUACCGCAUAACAAUGGAUUACACAUGUCAUUUAUUUGAAAGGGGCAAUUGCUCCACUACAAGAUGGACCUGCGUUGUAUUAGCUAGUAGGUGAGGUAAUGGCUCACCUAGGCGACGAUACAUAGCCGACCUGAGAGGGUGCGCGGCGACACUGGGACUGAGACACGGCCCAGACUCCUACGGGAGGCAGCAGUAGGGAAUCUUCGGCAAUAGGGGCAACCCUGACCGAGCAACGCCGCGUGAGUGAAGAAGGUGUUCGGAUCGUAAAGCUCUGUUGUAAGUCAAGAACGGGUGUGAGAGUGGAAAGUUCACACUGUGACGGUAGCUUACCAGAAAGGGACGGCUAACUACGUG
rnacentral:rRNA from 1 species